UGACAGUGGUAUCUGUCCUGGUCCUGAACCUUGACUCCUGUCAGCAGCAGUGAGGCGUUUCCUCUGGAGAUCUGAUCCUUGAACAGUGACGUCCUGCCUCUGAAGUUCUGGUCCUGGUGUCCCAGCUGGUCUUGGUUGUUGUAGAACGAGUGGACACGUAGGAAUCCAGAUUUCAUCAGAAACCAGUGGAUGACUACUUCAUGAAAAUUCAUGGAACUACAUGAUGGUCUGCGGUGGAAGUGGUCUCCUGCUACAUGUACAUGGGUGUCAACCUGAGUGACGAAGGAAGGAACACCAGACAGCUGAGACGUGCUGGACUGGGAAGCUUGGUCUUUAUCUCGUUCUACAGAUGUGUGGUGGAGAGUAUCCUGUGCUCCUGCAUCACUGUGGCUGCAGAGAAGGAGGCUCUGCAUAGGGUGGUGCAGGCUGACAAAGGACUGUUGGAGUCAGCUUCACCACAAUACCAAACAUUUACAUCUCCAGAUGCAGAAAGAGGGCAAAUCAGGAAGGAGCCCAACCAAUCAGCACACAUGCUCUUUGUCAAACUCCCGUCUGACCACAAGAAAGAGGAACUGCUCUUCCCCAGAAACUGUAAGACAGUUAAAGUCUGGUAGAGCUGUGUGACUGCACAACUCAAGUUUCUCAACACCUAAAACUCUGUUUACAACAGAAUAAUAGCUGCACUGCUACCAUCAUUCAUGCUGCUUGUUGCUGCUUUAUAUGUUUAUUUUGUUCUUAUGUACAUUUUUUCCUACCUUAGUUAAAUUAUGUUAUUUUAUUUGUUUGUUAGACACAGCUAUUAGUACAAUAUACUGUUCACUUGUGUCUAUUUUACAGUUACUCAGUGUCUAUAUAUUAUAGUUACUAUGGGUAACAACCUGGGACCUGAGUGCAUGAUUUAGUUCCAGCUCAUGCUUCUGUAUGAAGGUGAAUGACAAAUAAAAAUCCUUGAAUCCUUGAAUAUUUAUUUAACUAAGAACACAGGUUCACUUAUACUUGUACAUGUUGUUAUAUAUAUUUCUUAUAGUUUUUACAUUGAUGAGUGUAUCUUGUCUAUUUACUCUUAUUUAUUCUUAUUGCCGACCUACAUUGCUCUUAGUUCUGAACACUGGUACACUUUGAGUAGGACCUGUGUUGUCAUGGUCUGUAUCUGUCUUUUAUUUUGUGAGUCAUAUUUUGAAGUUUUCUGUUUUACUUAACAGUACAGGCGACGCAAAUUAUAAACGUAAAAACAAUGUGUGUUCUCAUUCCCUAAAGUCAUUUGGUCCAGGAAUCUUCCGGUACCGAAUCACUGAUGAUCCGCUCGCGAAACGACUCAGUGACACAACGUGAAUCAGUGGUUCAGUAACAUUCACUGACCGGAUCACUCUCCUCAGUCACUGACUAUAUUCCUCCAUUUGGUGCAAUAUAGUCUGAAGACCCAACACUAAGAGAUGCGUUUCCAGCCUUUCAAAUAAAAAAAGUGUAGCCUAUGUGACUGUCUGGUUGUUGACUGUGUUUUAUUGCACUGAAAUUAUUAUAAAGUGGAAAAUAAGUAAAAAGCAAAAUGACAAACACUGUUGUAAACUCUGUACAUCUUAACAUAUGAAUGAAAUAUCAACUUAAAUGCAAUCAAAACUAAAACUAGGGCUUGUUUAGUUUAUUGCAAAAACGUGUAUCAAAAGCGAGAAAAUAAGAUCAAAUAAGGGUCAAAAGACUGACAGUCAGUGGUUGAUCAACUGAGACUGACGACUAUUUAGGGAAGUGGUUACUUUACGGGAUGAAAGUCUCAUUUUAAAACGAAAAUUAGCUCAUUCUGUGUUUCCG